rnacentral:rRNA from 1 species
GACGAACGCUGGCGGUGGGCCUAACACAUGCAAGUCGAACGGCAGCGCAGUAAUUUCUUGCGCUGAUGGGGUGCGAGUGGGGUACGUAAGAGGUGUACAUCGUGAUCUACUUUUUGGGGUGGGUUAAGGUAGGUGAGGUUACUCUAGGAUCGCAGAUGACCUUGGGUGGAGGGGAUGGGAUCGUUGCGCCGGUCGGGGUUGGAUUAGCGGAUGUUGUAUUAGUUGGUGGGGGGGGUAAAGGCCAACGAAGGCGAGGAUCCGUAGCCGGUGUGGGUGGAUGGUAGGCCACACUGGAACUGAGACACGGUCCAGACUCCUACGGGAGGCAGCAGUGGGGAAUAUUGGACAAUGGGCGCAAGCCUGAUACAGCCAUACCGCGUGGGUGAAGAAGGCCUUCGGGUUGUAAAGCCCUUUUGUUGGGAAAGAAAAGCAGCAGGUUAAUACCCAGCUGUUCUGACGGUACCCAAAGAAUAAGCACCGGCUAACUUCGUG